rnacentral:rRNA from 1 species
ACAGCAGCAGCCGCGGUAAUACGGAGGGUGCAAGCGUUAAUCGGAAUUACUGGGCGUAAAGCGCACGCAGGCGGUCUGUCAAGUCAGAUGUGAAAUCCCCGGGCUUAACCUGGGAACUGCAUUUGAAACUGUCAGGCUGGAGUCUUGUAGAGGGGGGUAGAAUUCCAGGUGUAGCGGUGAAAUGCGUAGAGAUCUGGAGGAAUACCGGUGGCGAAGGCGGCCCCCUGGACAAAGACUGACGCUCAGGUGCGAAAGCGUGGGGAGCAAACAGGAUUAGAUACCCCAGUAGUCCCUGUCUCUUAUAC